GGUACGGUGCGCCUGGCCCGUACGGCUCUGUCGUACGCGUGUCGGUGUGCGUCUGCCAUCCUUCCAGUAAACAGUCUUACAUGAAAGUGUCGGGCUGCGAUCUGGAUCUUUUACUUUGAAAAAAUUAGAGUGUUUAAAGCAAGCUUGUGCGUUGAAUACAUUAGCAUGGAAUAAUAAUUUAGGACUUUAUUCCUAUUUUAUUGGUUUCUAGGGAUGAAGUA
rnacentral:rRNA from 1 species